rnacentral:tRNA from 1 species
GCAGUGCUGAUCCACUGGUAGAACUCUCUUCUUCUGUGCGGGAGACCUGGGUUUGAUUCCCAGGCAAUGCA